rnacentral:rRNA from 7 species
UAAUUUAAUAGAGCGUCGCAAUGACUCUCGGCAACGGAUAUCUCGGCUCUCGCAUCGAUGAAGAACGUAGCGAAAUGCGAUACUUGGUGUGAAUUGCAGAAUCCCGUGAACCAUCGAGUCUUUGAACGCAAGUUGCGCCCGAAGCCUUUCGGCCGAGGGCACGUCUGCCUGGGCGU